rnacentral:rRNA from 1 species
UCGACCCCGGGUCAGGCGGGGCUACCCGCUGAGUUUAAGCAUAUCAAUAAGCGGAGAAAAAGAAACUUAUAAGGAUUCCUCUAGUAACAGCGAGCAAACCGGGAACAGCCUAGCUUGAAAAUCGUGCGGAAUCGUAGCUCGACUUAUAGUUUGGAGAAGCGUCCUCAGCGGCAGACCGGGCCCAAGUCCCCUGGAAGGGGGCACCGGAGAGGCUGAGAGCCCCGUCGUGCCCGGACCCUGUCACGCCACAAGGCACUAUUGGUGAGCCGGGUUGUUUGGGAAUGCAACCCUAAUUGGGUAGUAAAUUCCGUCCAAGUCUAAAUGCGGGUGGGAGACCGAUAGCAAACAAGUACUGCGAGGGAAAGAUGAAAAGGACUUUGAAAAGAGAGUCAAAGAGGGCUUGAAAUUAUCAGGAGGAAAGUAGAUCGGGGUCGAUGAUGCACCCCGGUCAGAUGUGGAAUGACGACAACCGGUCUGUCGAUCAGCUCAGGGCAUGGAUAGGUGCGGAUUAGGGCGGAAAUCAAAGUCCGGGCAAUCGUAAAGCCCACAAAGACACCUUCACCUCGAUCGUGGCAAGCAGCGCACGCCCGUAAGGGUGUGCUUUGGCAUCUGCAUGCUCCUGGCACCAGCCAGCGGGCUCCCCGUUCGACCCGUCUUGAAACACGAACCAAGAUGUCUGACAUGUGUGCGAGUCAACUGGCGAGUAAACCCAUAAGGCGUAAGGAAGCUGAUUGGUGGGAUCCCCUAGUGGGUUGCACCGCCAAUCGACCUUGAUCUUCUGAGAAGGGUUCGAGUGCGAGCAUGCCUGUCGGGACCCGAAAGAUGGUGAACUAUGCCUGAGCGGGGCGAAGCCAGAGGAAACUCUGGUGGAGGCCGCAGUGAUACUGAUGUGCAAAUCGUUCGUCUGACUUGGGUAUGGGGGUAAAAGACUAAUCGAAUCGUCUAGUAGUUGGUUCCCUCUGAAGUUUCCCUCAGGAUAGCUGGAGCCUGGGUGGAGUUCUAUCAGGUAAAGCCAAUGAUUAGAGGCAUCAGGGCCGCAAUGCCCUCGACCUAUUCUCAAACUUUAAAUAGGUAGAAUGGCACGACUGCUCUGAUGAGUUAUGCCACGAAAUCGAGAGCUCCAAGUGGGCCAUUUUUGGUAAGUAGAACUGGCAAUGCGGGAUGAACCAAAAGUUGGAUUACAGUGCCCAAUUGCGCGCUAACCAAGAACCCACAAAAGGUGUUGGUCGUUUAAGACAACAGGACGGUAUGGAAGUCAAAAUCCGCCAAGGAGUGUGUAACAACCCACCUGCCGAAUCAACUAGCCUUGAAAAUGGAUGGCACUGAAGCACGCGACCUAUACCCAGUCGUCAAGGCAAGUGCCGGGCCCGAUGAGUAGAAGGGCAUAGCCGUCACUGCAAAACCUUGGGCACGAGCCCAGGCGGAGCGGCUGUUGGUGCGGAUCUUGGUGGUAGUAGCAAACAUUCGAAUGAGAACUUUGAAGGCCGAAGAUGGGAGAGGUUCCAUGUGAACGACACUUGCACAUGGGUUAGUCGAUCCUAAGAGUUGGGGAAAGCACGACAGAGAGUGCGUCCAGCGCGAGCGUCGAAAGGGAAUCGGGUUAAAAUUCUUGACCCGGGACGUGGCAGCUAACGGUAAUGUUAGGGAGUCCGGAGGCAUCGACGGGGGCCGUGGGAAGAGUUAUCUUUUCUGUUUAAUAGUUUGCCCACCCUGGAAACGGCUCGGCCGGAGGUAGGGUCCCGCGGCUGGAAGAGCACCGCACGUCGCAUGAUGUCCGGUGCACCCCCGACAGCUCUUGAACAUCCAGAGGAUCGAGUGCCUCCCAUGCCCAGUCAUACUCAUAACCGCAUCAGGUCUGUAAGGUGAACAGCCUGUGGCCGAUAGAACAAUGUAGGCAAGGGAAGUCGGUAAAAUGGAUCUGUAACUUCGUGAAAAGAAUUGGUUUUAAGGGCUAGGCACGGUGGUCUUAGCCCUGAACCCAUCGGCUGCCGGUGGACUAGUCGAGCUGGUCCCGCAGCGGGAGCGGGUUGCUAUGUGCCGGUCGGGAGAAGGACUGGGAAUGGCUCCUCCCGAGGCCUUCCCCGGGCGUCGAACAGUCGACUCAGAACUGGUAUGGAUAAGGGGAAUCCGACUAUUUAAUUAAAACAAAGCAUUGUGAUGGUCCACGCGGAUGCUCACGCAAUGUGAUUUCUGCCCACUGCUCUGAAUGUCAAAGUGAAGAAAUUCAAUCAAGCGCGGGAAAACGGCGGGAGUAACUAUGACUCUCUUAAGGUAGCCAAAUGCCUCGUCAUCUAAUUAGUGACGCACACGAAUGGAUUAACGAGAUUCCCACUAUCCCUGUCUACUAUCCAGUGAAACCACAGCCAAGGGAACGGGCUUGGUAGAAUCAGCGGGGGAAAAAAGACCUGUUGAGCUUGACUCUAGUCUGACUUUGUGAAAUCACUUGAAAGGCAUAGGAUAAGUGGGAGCCGGAGACGAAAAAAGUGAAAUACCACUACUUUUAACGUUAUUUUACUUAUUCCGUGAGUCGGAGGCAGGGCAUUGCCCCUCUUUUUGGACCCAAGGCUCACCUCGACGGGCCUAUCCGGGCGAAAGACAUUGUCAGGUAGGGAGUUUGGCUGGGGCGGCACAUCUGUUAAAAGAUAACGUAGGUGUCCUAAGAUGGGCUCAACGAGAAUAGAAAUCUCGUGUGGAACAGAAGGGUAAAAGCUCGUUUGAUUCUGAUUUCCAGUACGAAUACAAACCGUGAAAACAUGGCCUAACGAUCCUUUAGACCUUCCAAAUUUGAAGCUAGAGGCGUCAGAAAAGUUACGACAGGGAUAACUGGCUUGUGGCGGCCAAGCGUUCAUAGCGACGUUGCUUUUUGAUCCUUCGAUGUCAGCUCUUCCUAUCAUUGUGAAGCAGAAUUCACCAAUUGUGAAGCAGAAUUCACCAAGUGUUGGAUUGUUCACCACCAAUAGGGAACGUGAGCUGGGUUUAAACCGUCGUGAGACAGAUUAGUUUUACCCUACUGAUGACAGUGUCGCAAUAGUAAUUCAACCUAGUACGAGAGGAACCGUUGAUUCGCACAAUUGGUCAUCGCGCUUGGUUGAAAAGUUAGUGGCGCGAAGCUACCGUGCGCGGGAUUAUGACUGAACGCCUCUAAGUUAGAAACCAGGCUAGAAGCGAUGCAUGCGCCUGUCGUUUGUUUACCGACCAGCAGUAGGUGCCAUUCGGCCCCCAAAGGCACGUGUCAUUGGCAAAACUCGCGCGGCGAUCGAGCCGCGCGGGCCACCUUGAAGUUCAAUUCCUAUCGAGCGGCGAGUAGAAUCCUUUGCAGAUGACUUAGAUAUGCGAUAGGGUAUUGUAAGUGGCAGAGUGGCCUUGUUGCCACGAGCCACUGAGAUUCAGCC